rnacentral:rRNA from 1 species
AUACGGAGGGUGCAAGCGUUAAUCGGAAUUACUGGGCGUAAAUCGUACGUAGGCGGUUGGUUAAGUUAGAUGUGAAAGCCCCGGGCUUAACCUGGGAACUGCAUUUAAAACUGGCGAACUAGAGUUGAGUAGAGGGGAGUGGAAUUUCAGGUGUAGCGGUGAAAUGCGUAGAGAUCUGAAGGAACACCAGUGGCGAAGGCGACUCCCUGGACUCGAACUGACGCUGAGGUACGAAAGCGUGGGUAGCAAACGGGAUUAGAAACCCCAGUAGUCC